CACGUAGGCGGACCGGAAAGUUGGGGGUGAAAUCCCGGGGCUCAACCCCGGAACUGCCUUCAAAACUAUCGGUCUGGAGUUCGAGAGAGGUGAGUGGAAUUCCGAGUGUAGAGGUGAAAUUCGUAGAUAUUCGGAGGAACACCAGUGGCGAAGGCGGCUUACUGGCUCGAUACUGACGCUGAGGUGCGAAAGCGUGGGGAGCAAACA
rnacentral:rRNA from 1 species